CCUACGGGAGGCUGCAGUGAGGAAUAUUGGUCAAUGGACGAGAGUCUGAACCAGCCAAGUAGCGUGAAGGAUGACUGCCCUAUGGGUUGUAAACUUCUUUUAAAUGGGAAUAAAAUGUUCCACGUGUGGGAUUUUGUAUGUACCAUAUGAAUAAGGAUCGGCUAACUCCGUGCCAGCAGCCGCGGUAAUACGGAGGAUCCGAGCGUUAUCCGGAUUUAUUGGGUUUAAAGGGAGCGUAGGUGGAUUGUUAAGUCAGUUGUGAAAGUUUGCGGCUCAACCGUAAAAUUGCAGUUGAAACUGGCAGUCUUGAGUACAGUAGAGGUGGGCGGAAUUCGUGGUGUAGCGGUGAAAUGCUUAGAUAUCACGAAGAACUCCGAUUGCGAAGGCAGUUCACUGGACUGCAACUGACACUGAGGCUCGAAAGUGUGGGUAUCAAACAGGAUUAGAUACCCUGGUAGC
rnacentral:rRNA from 1 species